GCCUGCCUGGCUCAGUCGUUGGAGCACGUGACUCUUGAUCUAGGGGUUGUGAGUUCAAGCCCCACGGUGGGCG
rnacentral:tRNA from 1 species